rnacentral:rRNA from 1 species
UACCCGCAGCCCGAGUGGUGAUCGUUAUUAUUGGGCCUAAAGCGUCCGUAGCCGGCUCAGUAAAUCCUUGGGUAAAUCGGGCAGCUUAACUGUCCGAAUUCCGGGGAGACUGUUGAGCUUGGGACUGGGAGAGGUCGGAGGUACUCCGGGGGUAGAGGUGAAAUUCUGUAAUCCUCGGGGGACCACCAGUGGCGAAGGCGUCCGACUUGAACGGGUCCGACGGUGAGGGACGAAGCCCUGGGGCACAAACCGGAUUAGAUACCCGGGUAGUCCAGGGUGUAAACGCUGCGGGCUUGGUGUUGGGGGUCCUACGUGGGCGCUCAGUGCCGGAGAGAAGUUGUUAAGCCCGCCGCCUGGGGAGUACGGUCGCAAGACUGAAACUUAAAGGAAUUGGCGGGGGAGCACCGCAACGGGUGGAGCGUGCGGUUUAAUUGGAUUCAACGCCGAAAAACUCACCGGGGGCGACUGUUAGAUGAGGGCCAGGCUGAUGACCUUGCCCGAUUUUCAGAGAGGUGGUGCAUGGCCGCCGUCAGUUCGUACCGCAAGGCGUUCUGUUAAGUCAGAUAACGAACGAGAUCCCCGCCCUUAAUUGCCAUCCCGCUCUCCGGAGCGGAGGAACAUUAAGGGGACCGCUGGCGCUAAGUCAGAGGAAGGUGGGGGCAACGGUAGGUCCGUAUGCCCCGAAUCCCCCGGGCAACACGCGCGCUACAAAGGAUGGGACAAUGGGUCCCAACACCGAAAGGUGACGGUAAUCCCGAAACCCAUUCAUAGUCCGGAUUGAGGGCUGUAACCCGCCCUCAUGAAGUUGGAAUCCGUAGUAAUCGCGGGUCAACAUCCCGCGGUGAAUAUGCCCCUGCUCCU